AAGAGUAACCAUGUCAUUUUUUGUGCCCGUUUUUCCUUGUGUUUUAUUGCGUAUAUUUUUCUCUCCGUGUAGACCUCAACGACGUUGUCUCUCAUUUUUGUGUGAUCCUGAUUCCCGCUGAUUUAUUGAAUUCUGUGAACGUGCAAUCUGAAACUUCGUGCCGUGACUUUUUUAGUGUAUAAAAAGUGAUCGAAGGUGUUCUUUACGAUGGAUGGUCGGAUGUCGAGAAACGAGAAUGAUGAUCUGAUGCUUUGAGUGUGAAAAAAAAAAAACAUAAUACGUAUUUAUUUUUUUUGUUUCUUCAUCAUCAUCAUUUACAAAAAAGGGACACAAUCAAAGAAUGGAUGGUAAAAGACGAGAGACCCGUGGAUGGGGCUAGUUCAUAUGAAGUGUCUUUGAGCAGUCAUGGUGUGGUGUGAGCAACUUGUGACGUGGUGCUGCCUUGCUUUGCUGUCAGUAUCGCAAUCAUUAACUGUUGCUGAUUUAACUACAACAACUGACAAAAUAUCAACGACAGCUACAAGGACAACAAAAUCCAGUGCAUCAACAAAACGUUCGAUACCAACUGAUGCACCAAUGUUGAAUUACAUAUUUGACAUUCAUAAUACAAUAAAUAAGCAUCAACAUCAUCGUGAUAAUCGAUGGGGACCUCAUUUUGAAGGUGAAAGUCAAAAUGUAACAGCUCAAGCUGAUGCAACUGUAAUUCUUGAUUGUAAAAUAUCACUUUUACAAGGAAAAACAGUAUCAUGGUUACGUAGACAUGAAGAUGGUGAAAGAAUGAUACUACUCACAUAUGGUCAACUCACUUACACUGGUGAUUCAAGAUACACCGUUGAAUUUCAAUAUCCCGAUAAUUGGAAAUUGAAAAUUCGAAAUGUGAAUAGCAGUGAUGAAGGACAAUAUGAAUGCCAAAUAAGCACACAUCCGCCCAUGACAAUUGUCGUCAACCUUCAUAUAAAUGCACCUUCAGUUCAAAUUGUUGAUGCACUUGGAGAACCAUUACGUGAUAAAUACUAUGAAGCAGACAGCACUAUUGAAUUAUUGUGUGUUGUACGACACAUGGCAAUGCAAAUGCAGUACAGUGUGGUCCAGUGGUUACAUGGAAAUAGAAUUUUAAACUAUGAUACGUCUAGGGGUGGUAUUAGUGUAAAAACAGACCUAAUGGAAGUAGGGGCAAAUUCAACGCUAAGUAUAGCAAGGGUGGGACCAACUGACAGUGGAAAUUAUACAUGUGUGCUAACCACAAUGCCAGACAAACCAGCAACAGUACAUGUACAUGUUUUGAAUGGAGAAAGUCUAGCUGAGCUACAUCAUGGUACAGCAAAUAUAACAACUGAAAAUAAUGUUGUGUUAAUUGUGUUAUUUGGUAUAAUUUUUACACAUUUACUAAUGGCAUUGAGAUGAAAAACUAUUAUAUCAAAUAAUUACUUGUUGAUAUAAAAUAUCAUUUAAGACAUAAUUAAAAUAAUGCCCAAAAUUGUGUGACAGUAGUAAUUAUUGUUUCAACUUGUAAUUAGUCAUUUUUGAUUAUCCUAAAAAAUAUUUGAUGAAAAACCUGGAUGUACGAAAAUUGAUAAAUCAUUAUUUUGUUGACUCGUCAGCUAUUGGAUAAAUGUCUUUUUUUUUUUCAUCGAGAUGCCAGAGAAGAGGUCAGGAACUGUUGGCUUUUUUAUUUUAUAUUUUUUACUGGCUGGUGACUGGUUUAUGUCUCCCAGUGGUCAAAUAAUUCGACUAUGAAGAGGUAAUCAUACUGUGAAAAAUCCUAGUCACUGAGGAGCUGAGUUAUAUACUUUUGAAAAAUAAAUCAACACAAAAACUAUCAAUUCAUCAGGGACCAUAAACGUCUGCAAUGCGGUUUUCAUGUUAAGCAUUGCUUCAAAAAAAAAUAACUACAAAGUAAAAAAAAAUUCUACUAAUAUCAUUGACGUAUAUUCAAAGUGCCUUGGGUUAAUGGAAAUUUAUGUAGAGAGACGCUUGGGGAUAUAAAAC
rnacentral:misc_RNA from 1 species